rnacentral:rRNA from 1 species
AUGAACGCUAGCUACAGGCUUAACACAUGCAAGUCGAGGGGCAGCAUGGUCUUAGCUUGCUAAGGCCGAUGGCGACCGGCGCACGGGUGAGUAACACGUAUCCAACCUGCCGUCUACUCUUGGACAGCCUUCUGAAAGGAAGAUUAAUACAAGAUGGCAUCAUGAGUCCGCAUGUUCACAUGAUUAAAGGUAUUCCGGUAGACGAUGGGGAUGCGUUCCAUUAGAUAGUAGGCGGGGUAACGGCCCACCUAGUCUUCGAUGGAUAGGGGUUCUGAGAGGAAGGUCCCCCACAUUGGAACUGAGACACGGUCCAAACUCCUACGGGAGGCAGCAGUGAGGAAUAUUGGUCAAUGGGCGAGAGCCUGAACCAGCCAAGUAGCGUGAAGGAUGACUGCCCUAUGGGUUGUAAACUUCUUUUAUAAAGGAAUAAAGUCGGGUAUGGAUACCCGUUUGCAUGUACUUUAUGAAUAAGGAUCGGCUAACUCCGUGCCAGCAGCCGCGGUAAUACGGAGGAUCCGAGCGUUAUCCGGAUUUAUUGGGUUUAAAGGGAGCGUAGAUGGAUGUUUAAGUCAGUUGUGAAAGUUUGCGGCUCAACCGUAAAAUUGCAGUUGAUACUGGAUAUCUUGAGUGCAGUUGAGGCAGGCGGAAUUCGUGGUGUAGCGGUGAAAUGCUUAGAUAUCACGAAGAACUCCGAUUGCGAAGGCAGCCUGCUAAGCUGCAACUGACAUUGAGGCUCGAAAGUGUGGGUAUCAAACAGGAUUAGAUACCCUGGUAGUCCACACGGUAAACGAUGAAUACUCGCUGUUUGCGAUAUACAGCAAGCGGCCAAGCGAAAGCGUUAAGUAUUCCACCUGGGGAGUACGCCGGCAACGGUGAAACUCAAAGGAAUUGACGGGGGCCCGCACAAGCGGUGGAGCGUGUGGUUUAAUUCGAAGCAACGCGAAGAACCUUACCAGGUCUUGACAUCGAUCUAAAGGCUCCAGAGAUGGAGAGAUAGCUAUAGAGAAGACAGGUGGUGCAUGGUUGUCGUCAGCUCGUGUCGUGAGAUGUUGGGUUAAGUCCCGCAACGAGCGCAACCCUUGUUGUCAGUUACUAACAGGUUCCGCUGAGGACUCUGACAAGACUGCCAUCGUAAGAUGUGAGGAAGGUGGGGAUGACGUCAAAUCAGCACGGCCCUUACGUCCGGGGCUACACACGUGUUACAAUGGGGGGUACAGAGGGCCGCUACCACGCGAGUGGAUGCCAAUCCCAAAAACCUCUCUCAGUUCGGACUGGAGUCUGCAACCCGACUCCACGAAGCUGGAUUCGCUAGUAAUCGCGCAUCAGCCACGGCGCGGUGAAUACGUUCCCGGGCCUUGUACACACCGCCCGUCAAGCCAUGGGAGCCGGGGGUACCUGAAGUGCGUAACCGCGAGGAGCGCCCUAGGGUAAAACUGGUGACUGGGGCU